GGUUGAUAAGACAUUUUAAAAGAGCCACCACCAUGGUCACCUCCUAUCUUUAGAUGGAUUUCAUCUUUAAAAGCUUGUCUCUCUAGCAGCAUGGAAUUUCUAAAUUGUAACAAUUAAUAACUUCGUAUUAUACAACCAGGAACAGAUGAAGCAUGGAGUUUGUAUUACCUGGCCAUUGUUUUCAUCUUCUCCCAGGGCACACCCAUAUCUGCUUUUAAAGCAACCAUUGCUUCAGAAGUUAUUGUUGCAGAAGAUAAUUGUGCUUCCUUCAAAAUUGUCUCCCGUUCUGCCUGAGGAAAGCGCUUUACCAAGGCAGAAGUCUGCCCUAACAAGGAAAAUUUUGUCGAUCCAGCUGCCGUGAAGAUUUGGUCGUGAAGGAAUUUUGUUCUUCUUCUCAAGUGACGGCGACUAACAUUUUCUUUAAUUCCUUUUGGAGUAGAUGUCAAGACUAAUGGCUGAAAAUAAUUAUUCUCAUAGAUAAAUAUUGGUAUACAUAACAUAGCUUUUUAUAAAUGUUUUAUUAGAAUAAUAAGAAUAUUAGAGUGA